UGCCGUCAAGUGCUGUGCAGAGUCGCUCCGUUUGAAAGCGUCAGUAGGAUGAAAUCGCUUGCUUCAGUCGGCGUGUUCCUGGCUUUAUUAACCCGUGUCCAUUCCGAUGUCGUGUUAACUCAGCCCACGUCGGAGACUGCCAGACCCGAAGGAUCAGUGAAGCUCACCUGUAAAACCAGUGGGUUUGAUCUCAGUAGCUACUAUAUGAGCUUGGUACGUCAGGUGAGCGGACAGGGGCUGGAAUGGCUCCUUUCAUACAGGAAUCCUUCAAACAAGUAUUUCGCCCCAGGGAUCCAGAACAGAUUCACUCCGUCCAAAGACUCCACAAACAAUAUGUUCACCGUUGAUGUGACCCAGCUACAAACGGACGAUACCGCUGUCUAUUACUGUGCGAGAGACACACACCGUGACUAUUUAGAUUACUGGGGAGGAGGCACCAUGUUAACGGUAACAAACGUGGCAAAUACCCACCCCACCGUUUACCCUCUCCUUUCAUGUGAGCAAUCCAGUGCCACUGAAACAAUCACCUUCGGCUGCUUGGCGACGGAUUACUCCCCGGUGGGAAUCAUCGUCUCCUGGAAGAAUGAUGAAGCGACAAUCACAACAGGAGUGAGCACCUAUCCGGCUGUGUUGAACAAGAAAGGAACUUACACACGGAGCAGCCAGUUAACUAUCACCGAGACACAAGCAGGGAGAAGCACCAUCUAUUGUGUCGUUCAGCAUCAAAAUUCAUCUCAGGAAAUCCCAGUGAAAGAUGAUGUGCGUCAUCCAAUCGUCGUUAUCUCCGUGAACUCCCUUGAAGAUAUUAAGAGGACCAGAAAAGGGACCGCAGUCUGCUCUAUGACUAACUUCCAACCGGCGCAAUUCACCGUGAUCUGGCUGAAAAAUGGACAGCCGUUGAAUUCCGGCGUCGUCACCUCCCCUGCUUUUGCGGUGAAUGGGAACUUCUCAGCGACAAGCCAGGUGACUUUCACGGCGACGGAAUGGUUCGCAGACUAUGUGUAUACAUGCCAGGUUACACACAAAAAUUAUAUGCAAAGCCGAAAUAUCAGCAAAUCUCAAGGUAAGAGACGAUGUUCAUUUGCCAUAGAAACAUGCCCAUGCGAAGAAGUAAAAGUAACAAUUGAACAGCCACCAGCGGAGCAGGUGUUACUGGAGGCGACCGUCACCUUAACCUGCGUCAUCACUAAUGCGCCUUACGACGUCCAAGUGUCCUGGAGGCAAGGAGAAAAUGAGUUGAAAACAGAGACUGCCUACCAGCCAGGAGACUCCCACCAUAGCGUGAUCAGCCAACUGAAUAUAUCGACACAAGCUUGGCUGAGUGGGGACUUAGUCGAAUGCGUGGUAAGCCACGAGGAAUGGCCGACCCCAAGAAGAGCAUACAUCCGCUGGGAAAAACGUAAGCUGGGGCUGGAACCUUCCGUCUCUGUCCUCCUUCCGCCAACAAGUGAAAAGUCCACAAAAAAACACCGUCAUCCUUACCUGCUUAGUGAGAGGGUUUUCGACUCGAAGGAUUUUCGUCACAUGGACAGUCGAUGACGCACCGGUGGAUUCACGCAACUACUCGAAUACUGCAGUUGCGGCAGAGAACAGCAGCAAUUCGUUCUUCAUGUACAGUCUGUUGCCUGUUCGAUUCGAACAGUGGUCCCGAGGUGCUUCUUUCUCCUGUGUUGUAGCACAUGAAACCCUCCCGAUGAAGAUCAUCACAAGAACCGUUAAUCGAUCAAGUGGUAAACCCAGUUUUGUCAACGUAUCCCUUGUACUGAUGGAUACUGUCGAUUAUUGUCAAUGAUAAUUUUAUCAUUUACAUUAAAUGUUUAAAUAAAUAUCAAUAAAUAUUCU